rnacentral:rRNA from 1 species
UACCGAUGGCGAAGGCAGCCCCCUGGGCCAAUACUGACGCUCAUGCACGAAAGCGUGGGGAGCAAACAGGAUUAGAUACUCUGGUAGUCCACGCCCUAAACGAUGUCAACUAGUUGUUGGGGAUUCAUUUCCUUAGUAACGUAGCUAACGCGUGAAAGUUGACCGCCUGGGGAGUACGGUCGCAAGAUUAAAACUCAAAGGAAUUGACGGGGACCCGCACAAGCGGUGGAUGAUGUGGAUUAAUUCGAUGCAACGCGAAAAACCUUACCUACCCUUGACAUGGUCGGAAUCCCGCUGAGAGGUGGGAGUGCUCGAAAGAGAACCGGCGCACAGGUGCUGCAUGGCUGUCGUCAGCUCGUGUCGUGAGAUGUUGGGUUAAGUCCCGCAACGAGCGCAACCCUUGUCCUUAGUUGCUACGCAAGAGCACUCUAAGGAGACUGCCGGUGACAAACCGGAGGAAGGUGGGGAUGACGUCAAGUCCUCAUGGCCCUUAUGGGUAGGGCUUCACACGUCAUACAAUGGUCGGAACAGAGGGUUGCCAACCCGCGAGGGGGAGCUAAUCCCAGAAAACCGAUCGUAGUCCGGAUUGCACUCUGCAACUCGAGUGCAUGAAGCUGGAAUCGCUAGUAAUCGCGGAUCAGCAUGCCGCGGUGAAUACGUUCCCGGGUCUUGUACACACCGCCCGUCACACCAUGGGAGUGGGUUUUACCAGAAGUGGCUAGUCUAACCGCAAGGAGGA